UCGGGAAUUUUGCACAAUGGCCGAAAGGCUGAUGCAGCACCGCCGCGUGAGCGAAGAAGGCCUUCGGGUUGUAAAGCUUUGUUGCCUGCGAAGAAGGGCCCUGUCAGGAAAUGGGCGGGGUUUGACGGUAGCAGGCUAGGAAGCCCCGGCAAACUACGUGCCAGCCGCCGCGGUACUACGUAUGGGGCGAUCGUUUUCCGGAAUUGCUGGGCGUAAUGGGCGUGUAGGGAGAGUAGGCGGGCGGUUAGGUCAGGGGGGAAAGACCGGGGCUAAACCCCGGGGGUGGCUCUGAAACUGGCGGGAUUGAGUGCGCUAGCGGGCAGUGGAAUUCCCGGUGUAGCAGUGAAAGGCGUAGAGGUCGGGAGGAAGAACAGUGGCGGAGGCGGCUGCCUGGGGAGUCACUGACGCUGAGGCGCGAAAGCUAGGGGAGCAAACAGG
rnacentral:rRNA from 1 species